GACAGAGGAGCCAAGCGUUGUCCGGACUGACUGGGCGUAAAGCGCCCGCAGGCGGCCGUGCACGUGGGGUGUGAAAGCGCUCGGCUUAACUGAGCGAGGCCAUCCCAUACGGCGCGGCUCGAGCCGUCCAGAGGCCGGUGGAAUUGCCGGUGUAGUGGUGAAAUGCGUAGAGAUCGGAAGGAACGUCAAUGGCGAAGGCAGCCACCUGGCUUAAUACUGACGCUGAGGCGCGAGAGCAUGGGGAGCGAACAGG
rnacentral:rRNA from 1 species